AUUGAACGCUGGCGGCAGGCCUAACACAUGCAAGUCGAGCGAGCGGCGGACGGGUGAGUAAUGUCUGGGAAACUGCCCGAUGGAGGGGGAUAACUACUGGAAACGGUAGCUAAUACCGCAUACCAUCUGAUGUGCCCAGAUGGGAUCAGCUAGUAGGUGGGGUAACGGCUCACCUAGGCGACGAUCCCUAGCUGUUCUGAGAGGAUGACCAGCCAAUGUGGAGCUGAGACAGGGUCCAGGCUCCUAGGGGAGGCAGCAGGGGGAAAUGUGGAACAAUGGGGGCAAGCCUGAGGCGACCAUGCCGGGUGUGGGAAGAGGGCCUUGGGGUUGAAAAGCACUUUCAGCAGGGGGAGGUAACCGCAGAAGAAGCACCGGCUAACUCCGUGCCAGCAGCCGCGGUAAUAC
rnacentral:rRNA from 1 species